UUGGCUUCUCACUCAGGAGCACUCCCCAAUUCUCAGACCUGUUACCUGUUUCUGAUGGAAUCCUUUCCCUGGCAAAGCCACGAGCAGUGUCCAGUAAACCCUGCACAGGAGCCUUUUACAACUCUUGACAGCUGGGAUUUGAAAAAAUAGGCUAUGACUACCUGACUCGCCUAAAAGACGUGAGGACCCCGGAAAAGCAGACCAGAUGGAUGACCAGAGGAACUGAGAGGUCCCCAAGGUCCCCAGGGUGGGAUCUGUGACAGGCUGGAGCUGGCGGUGAAGCUCAGCCAGGACGACAUCCUGCCCAGCAAAACUGCCUCUCUGUAAAUAAAUAUGUGUCGCAUCAUC